AGAGAAAGAAGAGGUAAGGAAAUAUAAGUCAAUGUAAACGUAUAACGUUAUUUUAUUCACAUAUACAAAGUGGUAUGACAAAAAAGCACGAUGCCAAAGCGGGGUUUUUUCUGUUAGUUGCGAAUGUAUUCGUUAUAGUAGUUACUUUACUAGUCCACGGGAUGUUCCCGCCGAAAUCGGACUUCGUUAUUAUGAAUAUUAAUAAAUUAAUAUGAGGUGUGGUGUUAUCAACUUAACCACUUGGUUUUUGCUUCAGAAAAGCAACUAGUUAUAAAUGUAGGGGCUUUUUUGGACAACUUCGGUGAAAAAGUGUUGAUUUCGUAGUUCAGUCAGCGUAACUUAUAUCCGAGAGGUCUUACAGGCGCCACAGACACCUAUCAGCCUUUUGUAAGGAGGAGCAGCUCGAGUGCGGUGCGGUCCGAGCUCUUCAAAUUAGAAUAGUGAUGAUGAUCUUGUCAAUGCUGAGAUUUUCAUGCAUCAACAGCCACUACAUCUGGAUCAGAUUGAACAAGAAACAGACAGCAAGGGUUGUCAGAUCAGAAACAGAAUGACACACAAGAAACUUCACAGGCAGAUCAACAUGCAAUUUGAAGACGUGUGAUAAAAUACAGAGAGGUGAAGUAGUGUGUCUUUUCAGAUCCCCAUAUCAUUCCUUCUUAAAAGAUGAACCUGAAGAGGAGAUUUGGGAAGAUGCUGUUUCGUAAGUCUCUUUGCCAGAUCACCUGUGGUCAGGAUGUCUGCUAACAAGAUGCCUUGCUGGUCUGGGCGAGUUUAAAGGCUUACACAGACAAUCCAGAAGUUCUGAAGUCCAUCUUCGAUUUCAUUGAUGCUGUCAUCGUAUUAAGUACAGCAUGAGCCAGAAUAGAUGGGGGGUGGUGGCCAUAAGAAGACUGUCAACUAAACCAACAACAAAAUUCAUAUUUGCAGUUUUUCUAUUCAGAUUAAUA